AAAAAGAUAUUGCCAAGAGAAAAUCUUGCGAGAAAAAGUAGGAGAUAAAUAUCUUAGUUUGCAAAGAGGAAGGAAAUAAACAAAAUAGUUAUCUGUUAAUGGAUUAUUGAAGACUAAAUAUCAAUUAGCUAGGAUUUUCAGCAAAGAUAUUAUUGGAAGAAUUAGAGACUCUCCAACAGCAUCUCUAUAAUUUCUGUAUUAUAAGGAAACAAAAGUCAAAGUUAUAAACAAUUUUCUUUCUACAACUCCAAUAGAUUUUCUAUUUUAGAGAUUCAUGUUCAUUCUCUAAAUCUUUUUCUAAAAUUAUAAUUUUGAUAAAGAGUACGUGAAUACGAGAACAAAUGUCUACUCAUUCAUUGAUAGAUUGGCCUUUAUAUAGGCAUUACAUAGAGAAUCCAUGUAAAUCAAGGAUAGAUAUCUAAGAGAUAUUCUAGUCUAAUAAGGAGAAGAUUCGGUCAAGACACAUCAUCAAGGAUAGGAAUGUAAAUUCCUUCAACACUCCCCCUUGUGUCGCGUACCAUAAUCACAUGGCGCAUGAACGUUGCCUCUGUAAAAACCUUGCCAAAUAAAACAAAAAUGUAAUACCUCGGAAUUUUAGAUGCUAGUUUCUAUUAUUUUUGAAUGGUUGACUUUUUGGUUGACUUUUUAUUCUUUGGGUUUCUCAAGAAACUUUCUUCACGAAAGUUGUAGAGCACGAUGAUAUGAGUUCGUAGACACGUGACACGCGUAAAACGGAUAUCGUAUGAGGAAGUUAUGGUCAGAGGAAGUUAGACUCCGUUGUGGAAAAAGUAUAAAUAGAAAAAGUUGUGGGUUUUAUUUUAGAAAACCUAAUUUGUAGAAAACCCCAACUCUCUUCUCUCUCCUUCCUCCCCGAGCCUUCCGUGUUCUCCCGUCUUCUCCGGCACCAAACGCAGCCGUCCGGCCACCGUUCGGAACGGCACCGGUCUCGUCUGGUUCGUAGGACCAUCGCCUUCAAGUCUAGGACAGUUUUGCACGGCGGGUGAGGCCGACCACGACGCCUCGCUGUGGGAGCAGGCCGAGUUGCUUGGCCGGAAACCAUUUUUUUUUUCCGGUGACGAUUUAAGCAGUGAACGGUAAGACGUGAAGCUCUCUUCCUUCUAAGUGUGUUUGUGCUAGUCUCCAUGGCCGUCAACCGGCGUAGGUGGUGCAGCUAGGCCCGACACCACCGUCGACGCGUCACCGAUCGGAACCGCCGUUUGCGGCGGUGACGAGGAGCAACCUUAGGUGAGUUUUGGUCCUCUCUUCCUCCUGGUUUUGUCUAGGCAUAGAUUGAAGCAAGUUUUUGAGGUUUUGAGGCCGGUUUUGCAGGUGUGAGGUGUGAUUCCGGUUUAGGGUUUUCGGGGCAGUUUCCGGCCGGUUCCGGCCAAAAUUGGUUGAAGCCUCAGGUAUGAAAGUUGUUCCCCUUGCUUCAAGCUUCAACUUUGCAGUUGAGAGUUCUCUCAAAUUCGGAUGUUUGGGGUGGCGAGUGGGGCCCACUCGCCGCCGCCUGUGGCCGCGCGUCCGGCUGAGUUGCGGUCUUAGUUUCCUGUGGUUAGCCAGUCCUUACUGUUGGGAGCUUGUUGAGUGGUAGUGUGGCUAGAUUUUAAGCAAGGUUGGCAUGUUAGGACUUAGGUUUAUUUGUGUAGGCUUGGUUGAGGUUUGACUUAGGAUUUGAGGAUUAGAGGCAGCCAUUUUGGGUCUCUAAGUUCGACGACUUUGGAAAGUCGUUCUCUCUUGAUCUAAGGGUUAGUUGAGGGUAUUGUGAAAACCUAUGGUAUUUUAGUUACUAAGGUUACUAAGGUUUUAAUUGUGUGAAUUGUGAGGUGGUGUUUUGACUUGCUCUUGUUGUUGUGGAAAUUACAGCGGGCUAAUUAGGUGAGUAAAAUCUCACCAAGGUCCACUUGUGACCUUUUUAUUUUGGAUGUUGAUUAUGAUGAUGAUUGUGAUGUUGGUUUUGAUAUUGAUUAUGAGGGUGAUUUUGAAUGAUGAGGAUGAUGAUGGUGAUGAUUAUUAUGAUGUUGAUGGUGAUGAUGAUAAGGUUUAUGUUGAUAAAAUGAUGAUGAUUAUUGUUGAUGAUUAUGAUGAUUUUAAAUUUAAAAUAUUUUAUUUCUUUUGGUUGUUUUAAAAUAUAUGAGCUUGAUCGCCAACGGCUCAUAGGUAAGAUAAAACAAGUUUUAUUAUUAUAUGAUUAUUUUUAAGGUUCAUAAAAUUAUAGUAUUUUUAGUUGUCGAUAAGUUAUUCUUGUGGGAAUAACCAUGUCUUGUGCAUAUAAAUAUAUCCAUGUGGAAGGAUAUAAUUUUUAUAAUGUGUUUUUUGUGUUUUGGAUGAUAUUGAAUUAAAGAAUACGCUAUUGUUUGUUUUUAAAAAUAAAUGAGUUUGAUCGUCAACGGCUCAUAGGUGAGAUAAAACAAGUAGAUAGUGAAACUGGGUUCUAAGCUCUUAAUCGGGUGAUUGGUUGUGGUUAUGAUGAUUCUACUCUUUUUGAGAAUUGUGUGUAGAUAGUCAAACUAGGUUCCAAGCCUUUAGUCAGGUGAUUGGUUACAGUUAUGACGCUAUUAUUAUUUUGUGAUGUGAUAUUGGACAGUCAAACUGGGUUCCAAGCCUUUGGCCGGGUGAUUUGUUACGGUUAGGAAUAGAGCUCUAGUCCAUCUGUCGGUGUAGGUCAUGGGUGAUACCUUAUGGUAUCUAGGACCCAUGGGUGCACAAAUUGUUGUUGUAGGUCAUGAGGUAUUUAUUAAUAUCUGGGACUCAUGGGUACAUGUUAUUGUGAAAGUGUUGAAAAUAUGGUUUUAACUUUGUUCUUAAUUGUUGUCAUUUAACUUGUUUGAGUAUCUCCUGAAUUAUGCUUAAUGCAAGAGAUUCUUCAAUUCUUAUUUGUGUAAAUUUUGAGUGGAAUUCCUGAACUAUCAUUAUUUGCAGGAUUCUCUUAUGAUUGAUUGUUUAGUGAAUUGUUAUGUUUUCUCAAUUUCUCUCUUUGAAUUUUAUUGUUGAGGCAAUUCCUGAACUAAGUGCUAAGCAGGAAUUUCCGGUUUCAUUUUGGGUGUUGUUAGGUUGUGAUAUUUUUUGGGAGUUACUCAUACGGGCUAUUUAGCUUACCGGGUUUGUUGUUUUACAACCCGGUGCACCUAUUCAUGGUGUAGGGGUUAGACCUGCAGGUGAUCAUCAGCAGGUUUGAGGCGGAGGCGUAGUGCAGGAUUUUAGUUUCUGUGCAUUUUAUUUUGUUUCUUUUUAUGGCAGUUUGUUUUUAAGCUCAUGUGAGCGACUUUAUUAUUACUAGAUUUUUGAAGUUGAUGUAAUUAUGGAGAUGUAAUGUUUAACUCGGUUGAUGAGUUUAUGUACAUUUACAUUCCAGUAUUUGUUUAGUUUGGAAGUUGUUUAGCAGGUUUUGGUAUAUUAAGAUUUUUGAGUUAUAUCAUGCCCAAAUUUUUGAAAAUUUAUCGUUCGAAAAUUGGGGUGUGACAGUUUGGUAUCAGAGCCUAGGUUUACAUAUUUGGUGAUAAUCAAUACUUCGGAGUGAUGGCCGGACUGCAAUGGAUCACCAUCAUAAGCUCUUCGGUAUUGAUAUGUCAUUGGGUAUGUGAAGGGUUAGGUGUCGCCUCUAGGUCAAUAGGAUGUCAGAGUCAAGUACUCUCUUAAGGGGAUUUUGAGUCUUUGUGUUCCAUCUUGAGUUAGUGUCUUGGUUAAUAAAUGUUGCAUUAGACUUAUACUUUGGUUUAAGUUUUAUGCAUGAGUUAACCAAGGUUUACUUGCUUCUUAGGUGAUGGAUCCUCUGCGAGGAAGAGCUAGAGGCCGAGGUAGGGCGAGGCAGGUGGGGCCAGAUGCAGAGGUAGGGCACCACCUGUGGAUGAUUUCUUUGAGGAGGAGGUGGUGUUGGAGGUGCCAGUGCUAGUUGCGGUAGAUGAUGGUCUACGUCUGGCCAGGCUGGCUCAAGGUAUCAUCAGAUUAGGAGCGCCUUCCUUCCUUGGAGGUACAGACUACCUCGUAGCUGAUCAUUGGAUAGAGGGCAUCGAGACAUACUUCACCAUGAUCACGUGUACGGAGAUUGAGAAGAUGUGUAUAGCUACGUUUCUUCUCAAGGAUGAGGCACGGGUAUGGUGGGGCGGGGUAGAGAGAUCUCGAGAUGUGACCGCCCUGACUUGGAAGGGGUUUGUUCAGCUCUUUCGAGAGAAGUAUUUUCCUCAUACAGUGAGGGAGCAGUUGGAGCAUGAGUUCAUAGCUCUGGUGCAGGGCCUAAUGAGUGUCAGGGAUUAUAAGGCCCAUUUUUCUCAGCUGUAUCGUUUUGCUAGAGAGAUGAGCGCAGUAGAUUUGGCACGAAAGUUCAUUCGGGGUUUGAGGCAUGAGCUCCGGAAGUUGGUGACUUCUCACUGUUUUGCUACUCUAGCAGAAGCGGUUGAGAGUGCCCUUACAGUUGAGCAGGAGGAGGCCAUGCAUAUGGCUGAGGGACAGAGAGAUAUCCAGGGGAAGGGCAAGGCCCUAGCAGGGAGCAGCAGUUCAGGGGACCACAGAGGUGGUUAUGGGAAGAGGCAGCGGACUAAUUAGCAGGCUCUAGCUACAGUGCCAGCUGCACCUAUCCGACAGGAGGAGCCUAGGAGAUGCUACCUUUGCAAUGGGAUGGGACACAUUUCGAAGGAGUGCAACAAGCGAAAGACUCAAGCUUGCUACAGCUAUGGGCAGGUGGGGCACCUUGCUAGGGAGUGUACUCAGCCUCAGGAGGACAGGCAGGGGUACCAGCAGAGGCAGUUGCCUCCGACCCAGUAGUAUUCUGGUGAGUUGAUUGUUUAUCUUUGUUUGGUUGCGUUAGGUGGUGUCAUGUCGUUUGUGCCUUAUAAUGUAGUUGCACUUGUGUGUUAGACUUUCUCUGUGGGGAAAUCCUUUUGUAACUUGUCUUUUGUGCGUGUUUUCGUGUUAUCUUUUGUUGUGUUGGGUGAGGUUUGACCCUAAUGGGAUGCGUGUUUUUGGUUUGGUUGAGUUCUUAGUGAGUGGUGAACUAGUUCGCAUCCUUAGAAACCCUUGUUUCUGUAUAGUUAGCCAUGUGGUGAUAGUGACUACAUUUUGGGAAGGGUGUCACAAGUCGAUUAAUUACCUCUAGGUGUGGUGUGGUCUAGUGUGUUUAAAAUUUCGAGGACGAAAUUUCUUUAUGGAGGGUAGAGUGUAAUACCUCGAAAUUUUAGAUGCUAGUUUCUAUUAUUUUUGAUUGGUUGACUUUUGGUUGACUUUUUAUUCUUUGGGUUUCUCAAGAAACUUUCUUCACGAAAGUUGUAGAGCACGACGAUAUAAGUUCGUAGACAUGUGACACGCGUAAAACGGAUGUCGUAUGAGGAAGUUAUGGUCAGAGGAAGUUAGACUCCGUUGUAGAAACAGUAUAAAUAGAAAAAGUUGUGGGUUUUAUUUUAGAAAACCUAAUUUGCAGAAAACCCCAAUUCUCUUCUCUCACCUUCCUCCCCGAGCCUUCCGUGUUCUCCCGUCUUCUCCGGCACCAAACGCAGCCGUCCGGCCACCGUUUGGGACGGCACCGGUCUUGUCUAGUUCGUAGGACCACUACCUUCAAGUCUAGGACGGUUUUGCACAGCGGGUGAGGUUGACCACGAUGCCUCGCUGUGGGAGCAGGCGGAGCUGCUUGGCCGGAAACCAUUUUUUUUUCCGGUGACGAUUUAAGUAGUGAACGGUGAGACGUGAAGCUCUCUUCCUUCUAAGUGUGUUUGUGCUAGUCUCCAUGGCCGUCAACCGGCGUAGGUGGUGCAGCUAGGCCCGACGCCACCGUCGACGUGUCACCGAUCGGAACCGCCGUUUGCAGCGGCGAAGAGGAGCAACCUUUGGUGAGUUUUGGUCCUCUCUUCCUCCUGGUUUUGUCUAGGCAUAGAUUGAAGCAAGUUUUGAGGUUUUGAGGCCGGUUUUGCAGGUGUGAGGUGUGAUUCCGGUUUAGGGUUUUCGGGGCAACUUCCGGCCGGUUCCGGCCAAAAUUGGUUGAAGCCUCAGGUAUGAAAGUUGUUCCCCUUGCUUCAAGCUUCAACUUUGCAGUUGAGAGUUUUCUCAAAUUCGGAUGUUUGGGGUGGCGCGUGGGGCCCACUCGCCGCCGCCUGUGGCGGCGCGUGGCCGCGCGUCCGGCUGAGUUGCGGCCUUAGUUUCCUGUGGUUAGCCAGUCCUUACUGCUGGGAGCUUGUUCAGUGGUAGUGUGGCUAGAUUUUAAGCAAGGUUGGCAUGUUAGGACUUAGGUUUAUUUGUGUAGGCUUGGCUUAGGUUUGAGUUAGGAUUUGAGGAUUAGAGGCAACCAUUUUAGGUCUCUAAGUUCGACGACGUUGGAAAGUUGUCCUCUCUUGAUCUAAGGGUUAGUUGAGGGUAUUGUGAAAACCUUUGGUAUUUUAGUUACUAAGGUUUUAAUUGUGUGUUUUUAGGUGAAUUGUGAGGUGGUGUUUUGGCUUGCUCUUGUUGUUGUGGAAAUUGCAGCGGGCUUAUUAGGUGAGUAAAAUCUCACCAAGGUCCACUUGUGACCUUUUUAUUUUGGAUGUUGAUUAUGAUGAUGAUUGUGAUGUUGGUUUUGAUAUUGAUUAUGAGGGUGAUUUUGAAUGAUGAGGAUGAUGAUGGUGAUGAUUAUUAUGAUGUUGAUGGUGAUGAUGACAAG
rnacentral:lncRNA from 1 species